CCAUACGACCGUACCGCAAACCGACACUGGUGCGCGAGAUGAGUAUUCUAAGGCGCUUGAGAGAACUCAGGAGAAGGAACUCGGCAAAUUGACACCGUAACUUCGGAAGAAGGUGUGCCCUAUUAGUGUGAAGUGAACAACGGAGCAUGAAUGGGUUGCAAAAAAUCGGUGGCUGCGACUGUUUAUUAAAAACACAGCACUCUGCAAACACGAAAGUGGACGUAUAGGGUGUGACGCCUGCCCGGUGCUGGAAGAUUAAAUGAUGGGGUGCAAGCUCUUGAUUGAAGUCCCAGUAAACGGCGGCCGUAACAAUAACGGUCCUAAGGUAGCGAAAUUCCUUGUCGGGUAAGUUCCGACCUGCACGAAUGGCGUAACGAUGGCCACACUGUCUCCUCCUGAGACUCAGCGAAGUUGAAAUGUUUGUGAUGAUGCAAUCUCCCCGCGGAAAGACGGAAAGACCCCAUGAACCUUUACUGUAGCUUUGUAUUGGACUUUGAACAGAUCUGUGUAGGAUAGGUGGGAGGCUUUGAAGCAGGGUCGCUAGAUCUUGUGGAGCCAACGUUGAAAUACCACCCUGGUGUGUUUGAGGUUCUAACCUAGGUCCAUUAUCUGGAUCGGGGACAGUGCAUGGUAGGCAGUUUGACUGGGGCGGUCUCCUCCCAAAGCGUAACGGAGGAGUUCGAAGGUACGCUAGUUACGGUCGGACAUCGUGACGAUAGUGCAAUGGCAUAAGCGUGCUUAACUGCGAGACUGACAAGUCGAGCAGAUGCGAAAGCAGGACAUAGUGAUCCGGUGGUUCUGUAUGGAAGGGCCAUCGCUCAACGGAUAAAAGGUACUCUGGGGAUAACAGGCUGAUACCGCCCAAGAGUUCAUAUCGACGGCGGUGUUUGGCACCUCGAUGUCGGCUCAUCUCAUCCUGGGGCUGUAGCCGGUCCCAAGGGUAUGGCUGUUCGCCAUUUAAAGAGGUACGUGAGCUGGGUUUAAAACGUCGUGAGACAGUUUGGUCCCUAUCUUCCGUGGGCGCUGCAGAUUUGAGGAAGCCUGCUCCUAGUACGAGAGGACCGGAGUGGACACACCUCUGGUGUAUCGGUUGUCACGCCAGUGGCAUUGCCGAGUAGCUAAGUGUGGAAGAGAUAACCGCUGAAAGCAUCUAAGCGGGAAACUCGUUUCAAGAUGAGAUCUGCCGGGGCCUUGAGCCCCCUGAAGAGUCGUUCAAGACCAGGACGUUGAUAGGUCAGGUGUGGAAGCGCAGUAAUGCGUUAAGCUAACUGAUACUAAUUGCUCGUGCGGCUUGAUCA
rnacentral:rRNA from 1 species